rnacentral:hammerhead_ribozyme from 1 species
AUCCACCUGACGAGUCCCAAAUAGGACGAAACACGCGUCGAGCUGGAU